rnacentral:rRNA from 1 species
AAGGAUCAUUACAGAGUUCAUGCCCUCACGGGUAGAUCUCCCACCCUUGAAUAUUAUACCUUAGUUGCUUUGGCAGGCCGGGGCAACCCCCGGGGCUUCGGCCUUGGUGUGCCUGCCAGAGGAAACAAACUCUGUUUUUAGUGAUGUCUGAGUACUAUAUAAUAGUUAAAACUUUCAACAACGGAUCUCUUGGUUCUGGCAUCGAUGAAUAACGCAGCGAAAUGCGAUAAGUAAUGUGAAUUGCAGAAUUCAGUGAAUCAUCGAAUCUUUGAACGCACAUUGCGCCCCGUGGUAUUCCGCGGGGCAUGCCUGUUCGAGCGUCAUUUCAACCCAUCAAGCUUCGGCUUGGUCUUGGGGCCUGCGAUUCCGCAGCCUCUAAACCCAGUGGCGGUGCCUCCGAGCUCUGAGCGUAGUAAUUCUUCUCGCUAUAGGUUCUCGGUGGUGUCUUGCCAGUAACCCCCAAUUUUUUACAGGUUGACCUCGGAUCAGGUAGGGAUACCCGCUGAACUUAAGCAUAUCAAUAAGCGGAGGAAAAGAAACCAACAGGGAUUACCUCAGUAACGGCGAGUGAAGCGGUAACAGCUCAAAUUUGAAAUCUGCCGCAAGGCCGAGUUGUAAUUUGUAGAAGAUGCUUUGGGUAUGGCCCCGGUCUAAGUUCGUUGGAACACGACGUCAUAGAGGGUGAGAAUCCCGUAUGUGACUGGGUGCUUUUGCCUAUGUAAAGCUCUUUCGACGAGUCGAGUUGUUUGGGAAUGCAGCUCAAAAUGGGUGGUAUAUUUCAUCUAAAGCUAAAUAUUGGCCAGAGACCGAUAGCGCACAAGUAGAGUGAUCGAAAGAUGAAAAGCACUUUGGAAAGAGAGUUAAACAGUACGUGAAAUUGUUGAAAGGGAAGCGCUUGCAACCAGACUUGCACGCUGUUGAUCAUCCAGGCUUCUGUCUGGUGCACUCGGCAGCGUUCAGGCCAGCAUCGGUUCUGGUGGUGGGAUAAAGGCCUUGGGAAUGUAGCUUCUUUCGGGGAGUGUUAUAGCCCUCGGUGCAAUGCCGCCUAUCGGGACCGAGGACCGCGCUUCGGCUAGGAUGCUGGCGUAAUGGUUGUAAGCGACC